UACGUAGGGGGCAAGCGUUGUCCGGAUUUACUGGGCGUAAAGAGCGUGUAGGCGGCCACGCAGGUCCGUUGUGAAAACUGGAGGCUCAACCUCCAGCUGUCGACGGAAACCGUAUGGCUAGAGUCCGGAAGAGGCGAGUGGAAUUCCCGGUGUAGCGGUGAAAUGCGCAGAUAUCGGGAGGAACACCUAUGGCGAAGGCAGCUCGCUGGGACGUUACUGACGCUGAGACGCGAAAGCGUGGGGAGCAAACAGG
rnacentral:rRNA from 1 species